rnacentral:rRNA from 1 species
GACGGAGGGUGCUAGCGUUGUUCGGAAUUACUGGGCGUAAAGCGUGCGCAGGCGGUUUUGUAAGCCAGAUGUGAAAUCCCCGGGCUUAACCUGGGAAUGGCAUUUGGGACUGCAAGGCUUGAGUGCGGCAGAGGAGACUGGAAUUCCUGGUGUAGCAGUGAAAUGCGUAGAUAUCAGGAGGAACACCGAUGGCGAAGGCAGGUCUCUGGGCUGACACUGACGCUCAUGCACGAAAGCGUGGGGAGCAAACAGG